ACAAGCGGAGGAGCAUGUGGUUUAAUUCGAUGAUACGCGAGGAACCUUACCUGGGCUCGAACGUAAGAUGACUGUUAGGUGAAAGCUUACAUCUCUUCGGAGCAUUUUACGAGGUGCUGCAUGGUUGUCGUCAGCUCGUGCCGUGAGGUGUCGGGUUAAGUCCCAUAACGAGCGCAACCCCUACCUUUAGUUGCCAUCAGGUUAAGCUGGGGACUCUAAAGGAACUGCCUACGCAAGUAGUGAGGAAGCGGGGAUGACGUCAAAUCAGCACGGCCCUUACGUCCAGGGCUACACACGUGCUACAAUGGCCGGUACAACGGGCAGCGAAGGAGCGAUCCGGAGCGAAUCCUAAAAAGCCGGUCCCAGUUCGGAUUGCAGGCUGAAACUCGCCUACAUGAAGUUGGAGUUGCUAGUAAUCGCGAAUCAGAAUGUCGCGGUGAAUGCGUUCCCGGGUCUU
rnacentral:rRNA from 1 species